CGGACGGGUGAGUAACGCGUAGGAAUCUGCCUACUAGCGGGGGAUAGCCCGAAGAAAUUCGGAUUAAUACCGCAUAAGCCCUACGGGGGAAAGCUGGGGAUCUUCGGACCUGGCACUAGUAGAUGAGCCUGCGUUAGAUUAGCUUGUUGGUGGGGUAAUGGCCUACCAAGGCGACGAUCUAUAGCUGGUCUGAGAGGACGAUCAGCCACACUGGGACUGAGACACGGCCCAG
rnacentral:rRNA from 1 species